rnacentral:rRNA from 1 species
GGGAAACUGCCUGAUGGAGGGGGAUAACUACUGGAAACSGUAGCUAAUACCGCAUAACGWCUUCGGACCAAAGUGGGGGACCUUCSGGCCUCACACCAUCGGAUGUGCCCAGAUGGGAUUAGCUAGUAGGUGGGGUAAUGGCUCACCUAGGCGACGAUCCCUAGCUGGKCUGAGAGGAUGACCAGCCACACUGGAACUGAGACACGGUCCASACUCCUACGGGAGGCAGCAGUGGGGAAUAUUGCACAAUGGGCGCAAGCCUGAUGCRGCCAUGCCGCGUGUAUGAAGAASGCCUUCGGGUUGUAAAGYACUUUCWKCGGGGAGGAAGGCGAUAAGGUUAAUAACCYUGUCGAUUGACGUUACCCGCAGAAGAAGCACCGGCUAACUCCGUGCCAGCAGCCGCGGUARUACGGAGGGUGCAAGCGUUAAUCGGAAUUACUGGGCGUAARGCGCACGCAKGCGGUCUGUCAAGUCAGAUGUGAAAUCCCCGGGCUYAACCUGGGAACUGCAUUUGAAACUGGCAGGCUAGAGUCUUGUAGAGGGGGGUAGAAUUCCAGGUGUAGCGGUGAAAUGCRUAKAGAUCUGGAGGAAUACCGGUGGCGAAGGCGGCCCCCUGGACAAAGACUGACGCUCAGGUGCGAAAGCGUGGGGAGCAAACAGGAUUAGAUACCCUGGUAGUCCACGCCGUAAACGAUGUCGACUUGGAGGUUGUGCCCUUGAGGCGUGGCUUCCGGAGCUAACGCGUUAAGUCGACCGCCUGGGGAGUACGGCCGCAAGGUUAAAACUCAAAUGAAUUGACGGGG